rnacentral:hammerhead_ribozyme from 1 species
GCACCGCUGACCAGUUCCAAAUAGGGCGAAACAGCUGUCCAGUGC